rnacentral:rRNA from 1 species
UGGGGAAUAUUGCACAAUGGGCGAAAGCCUGAUGCAGCGACGCCGCGUGAGGGAUGACGGCCUUCGGGUUGUAAACCUCUUUCAGCAGGGAAGAAGCGAAAGUGACGGUACCUGCAGAAGAAGCGCCGGCUAACUACGUGCCAGCAGCCGCGGUAAUACGUAGGGCGCAAGCGUUGUCCGGAAUUAUUGGGCGUAAAGAGCUCGUAGGCGGUUAGUCGCGUCUGCUGUGAAAACUCGAGGCUCAACCUCGGGCUUGCAGUGGGUACGGGCUGACUAGAGUGCGGUAGGGGUGACUGGAAUUCCUGGUGUAGCGGUGGAAUGCGCAGAUAUCAGGAGGAACACCGAUGGCGAAGGCAGGUCACUGGGCCGCAACUGACGCUGAGGAGCGAAAAGCAUGGGGAGCGAAACAGGAUUAGAUACCCUGGUAGUCCAUGCCGUAAACGUUGGGCACUAGGUGUGGGUCCAUUCCACGGAUUCCGUGCCGCAGCAAACGCAUUAAGUGCCCCGCCUGGGGAGUACGGCCGCAAGGCU